CAAUAAUGCCCACGACCGUGUCCGGGGAGUGGCAGACCUCACUGGUGGCCCUUUACAAUGUGUCAACCCGUGCAGGGAGAUGAGAGCGAGGGAGAACACGACUGAAGGGGUGCUGUGCAGACAGAGCCCAGACUGGACGAAAGCUCGGGACCCGGAGUCUUAACGACAGGAACUCGAUUUCUUAUAUGGAGAAGCAACAAGAAGGGGGAAGGCGGGAAGCGGUCGAGGAGCGAUCUUUUCCAUCAGGUUUUUAGGUUUCCAGGUUGUAACCCCGCCCACCGCGCUGAUGAGAAACGGCAUGAACAUGGGCACCACCCCACCUUGCCAGCUGGAAGGAAUUUGUUCUGCUGAUAAAAGAGAUGUGAAGAUACAGAAGCCACAGACACCCAGAGAGAAGAGUGACAAAGGCUGUACGCGUGUAGUUCACCAUAUGCAAAUUGAAGUCAAAAAUUUCUGUGGGAUUCGAAAGAUGUGGAGGAGAAAUUUGUCACAAUAUAAUGAUGCCCACUUUUCCACAACUAUCAUAAAACAGUGACUUACGAAGUCCGUUGAAUCUAUCAGGUGACUGUCUAAGGGUAACUGACUCAUACCUUGGCGUGUACACCUUUCGGAGUGUGAGCUAUACUCACUGGUGACAAGGAGCAAACUGAUAUUACAAUAAAAUUGUACCGACUUUAAAGUAGUAUCUUUUGUUGGAAUCGCUAAAUGAU
ensembl:lincRNA